AGUGAACGCUGGCGGCAGGCCUAAUACAUGCCAGUCGAACGGCAGCACAGUGGAGCUUGCUCCAUGGGUGGCGAGUGGCGGACGGGUGAGGAAUACAUGGGAAUCUGCCCAGUCGUGGGGGAUAACGUAGGGAAACUUACGCUAAUACCGCAUGCGCCCUUCGGGGGAAAGCCGGGGACCUUCGGGCCUGUCGCGAUUGGAUGAGCCCAUGUUCGAUUAGCUAGUUGGCGGGGUAAAGGCCCACCAAGGCGACGAUCGAUAGCUGGUCUGAGAGGAUGAUCAGCCACACUGGAACUGAGACACGGCCCAGACUCCUACGGGAGGUAGCAGUAGGGAAUAUUGGACAAUGGGCGCAAGCCUGAUCCAGCCAUGCCGCGUGAGUGAAGAAGGCCCUCGGGUUGUAAAGCUCUUUUGUCCGGGAAGAAAAGCAUCGGGCUAAUACCUCGGUGUUCUGACGGUACCGGAAGAAUAAGCACCGGCUAACUUCGUG
rnacentral:rRNA from 1 species